rnacentral:rRNA from 1 species
UGGGGGAUAUUGCACAAUGAGCGAAAGCCUGAUGCAGCGACGCCGCGUGGGGGAUGAAGGCCUUCGGGUUGUAAACUUCUUUUGCUCUGAACAAGGCGCACCAUGGGGUGUGUUGAGUGUAGGGGUUGAUUAGCGCCGGCUAACUACGUGCCAGCAGCCGCGGUAAUACGUAGGGCGCGAGCGUUGUCCGGAAUUAUUGGGCGUAAAGGGCUUGUAGGUGGCUGGUUGCGUCUGUCGUGAAAGCUCAUGGCUUAACUGUGGGUUUGCGGUGGGUACGGGCUGGCUUGAGUGCAGUAGGGGAGGCUGGAAUUCCUGGUGUAGCGGUGGAAUGCGCAGAUAUCAGGAGGAAUACCGGUGGCGAAGGCGGGUCUCUGGGCUGUUACUGACACUGAGGAGCGAAAGCAUGGGGAGCGAACAGG